GCACAGGCAGGGAGGAGAACGGCAGCUCCCAGGCUUCCACUGGGGAGUCCCUCCGGCUUUCUCCGGGAUUCCGCCCGCCCCAGGGUCUCAGACCAACAGAAGGACCCGGGAUCCCUCAGCAGCUCCGGACCUCAUCUGCCCCACUUCGGCAUCCCGCGCGGGAAUAUGACCAUGUAGGAGUAACCCGGGGCUCUCAAGGACUCUACGGUUUGUCACGGUUUGAACGCAAGCGCAGGGCCUGGGGCGGGUGCAGGUGGAGGGUCGGCCUCUUUCUGCCCUUGGGAACGCCCCUUUCUGGAUGUGGACCGGCGAGGCGGUCUCUCCUUUCUGCCCUCGCCUGGUGAAAUGUGGGCACUGCUGCCAGGAGAAAAAAAACUGAAGCUGUGAAUUCAGUUCAUCACCCUUCCCUUGUUUAUUAAAAAAUCGGACCUUGGCCGGGCGCGGUGGCUCACGCCUGUAAUCCCAGCACUUUGGGAGGCCGAGGCAGGCAGAUUAGGAGGUCAGGAGAUCGAGACCAUCUUGGUUAACACGGUGAAGCCCGGUCUCUACUAAAAAUACAAAAAAGUUAGCAGGGUGGUGGCGGUCGCCUGUUGUCCCAGCUGCUCGGGAGGCUGAGGCAGGAGAAUGGCGUGAACCCGGGAGGCGGAGCUUGCAGUGAGCCGAGGUCGUGCCACUGCACUCCAGCCUGGGUGAAAAAAUAAAAAAAAAAAAAGAUCAGGACCUUUACCCGCGCUGACGGUGAUUGGUUUUCAUGACCAAUAAAGAAAUUCGAAUGAGAUGAAGCUACUUACACCUGUGUUUUUACUGUUCCUUUAAAAUGCCCUAAUUUCACAACCAUGUGAAAAUUCCUGCCAUCUCUCCCCCAAGGCAUUUAUACAAGGAUGUACUUAGAUAUUUAGAUGUAUUUAAAUUUAUGCUUUUCUUUUCUUUUUUUUUUUUUUUUGAGACGGAGUCUGACUCUGUUUCCCAGGCUGGAGUGCAGGGCGUGAUCUCGGCUCACUGCGACCUCUGCCUUCCGGGUUCAAGAGAUUCUCCUGACUCAGCCUCCUGAGUAGCUGGGAUUACAGGCGCGCCAUCAAGCUCAGCUAAUUUUUUGUAUUUUUAGUAGAGCCAGUUUCACCAUUUUGGCCAGGCUGGUCUCGAACUCAUGACCUCAAGUGAUCCGCCCGCCUCAACCUCCCAAAGUGCUGGGAUUACAGGCGUAAACCACCGCACCCGGCCCAAACUGAUGCUUUUUACCGACAGAUGAAGGAAAUUCUUAAAUGCUCACAAUUGUUAUCUGCCUUUUUAAAAUUAGAGGGAUGCUGGGUUUAACAUUUUUCAUUUAAGAUCCCACGGAGAAUUAACAUAAUAAUUUCUCCGUAGGUAAAGAGGUAAUUUGAUGAAUGUUACUAGUUUUCUUUCAAAUAGCUAUUUGGAUUAUUGGAAAAUUCCCUAAGUAGGCAUCUUUAAUAAUUAUGUUAUUAAAAUAAAAAUAUUUUAGAACAAUUGAAGCAGAACAUUAAUGGAAUGUAAACAUUAUCACAAGAAUGAAAAGUUCUUUCCCCUUUGGUAUUAGGCAUUUAUUCAUUUCUUAUUAAAGUUGACCUUUUGAAGAUUACUUCAAAAUUAGCUUCCCCCCACUUCCAGUAAUGUGCUUGGUUACUUACGUAUUGAAAGUAACCUUGCAGACAAGUUUUGAAACACAAUUUUCAAAAUGAUCUAAGGAAUAGUUUUCCCCAUAUAUAUAAAUUAAAUGAUUUGUUAAAUAAUAGCCAUAUUUGAACAGCUAAGUAAAAUGUUUGAGUUUUAAAA
rnacentral:lncRNA from 10 species